AGAGAGAGAGAGAGGGAUAGGUAUGCUAGCGUAGUACCUAGGAAUUAAGAAUGCUUGCGGUAUUUUGACUAUAGGAUUUGAUCAACAUGAAUUGAACCAUUGGAUGGAGAGAAGAUAUACAAUUUCAAUUCACGGUUGCAACACCAUUCCUCUUUCUCUUUCUCUCUCUUCUCACGGGAAAAAGUCAUACAUUUCACCUAGCGUAGUAGAUCAAUAAUUAUUCGUUGAGGUAUCUUUGAAUCGUAGGAAUUAAAACUCAUUGAACUCCUCGUAAAUUAAUUGAUUUCUGGAAACAAAAAUUGAACUGAACUUACCUCGUAAUCGAGAUUUGAGAGAAGAUCAACGUUUUCAACAUCAGCAACAGCAGCGGCGGCAACAGCAACGGCAACAGCAACGUAAGCCAUCUCUCUUUUUCUCUCUCUACUAGUUUUCCCCCUUUCUUCUAUCAAUUUGCAGAGAGCUGCGUGAACAUCAGCGACAAUUUUUUUUCCCUUUCUUCUAUCGAUUUGGAGAGUGCAGCUUGAACAUCAGCAAUAACUACGGUAGCAACAGCAACAGCGGCAGCGGGAGCGGCGGUAGCAGCAGCGGCAACAACAACGUCCGGGAUUUAGCUUGAAGAUUAUCAACCACUUUCUUGUCAAGUUGGAAGGCUGUGGCAAGAACAUCAUCUGAUAUGGAAGGCUCCGAUCCAAAGACAGCAUUUCCCACAGUGAUGAUACAAGGAUUCUGACUAUUUGGGUGAUGAGGCGAUUUUCGGGGUUGGAGGUUAUGAAGCCAUCAUAUAGGGUACCCCUUAAGUCUGUUAGGAUCUCUGUACCUCGAAGGUGUAUGUGUGGAGGGUUGAGACCGUAUGGUCAAUGUGACCCAUGGAUAUGCCUAUUGUGUUGAGUCCAGUAAUAUACAUUCACCGGAGUAUUUUCAACCCAAGUCUGUUCGAGGUCUUCCCAGCUAUGUUGAGCCUUUGUUAAGAAGAAACCAUUGGUUGUGGCAAGCUUUGGGGUCCUUGCAGAAUUUCGCAUUCACGGACACUGAAAUAAAACUUUUUCAUUAGUUUGGCCAA